rnacentral:rRNA from 1 species
UACGUAGGUGGCGAGCGUUAUCCGGAAUCAUUGGGCGUAAAGCGCGUGUAGGCGGCUCGAUAAGUCCGCUCUGAAAGUCCAGGGCUCAACCCUGGGAUGCGGGUGGAUACUGUCGGGCUCGAGUCCGGAAGAGGCGAGUGGAAUUCCCGGUGUACGCGGUGAAAUGCGCAGAUAUCGGGAGGAACACCAAUGGCGAAGGCAGCUCGCUGGGACGUGACUGACGCUGAGACGCGAAAGCGUGGGGAGCAAACAGGG